CGGGUGGUAAUGCCGGAUGCUCCAGUUGACCGCAUGGUCCUCUGGGAAAGCUUUUGCGGUAUGGGAUGGGGUCGCGUCCUAUCAGCUUGAUGGCGGGGUAACGGCCCACCAUGGCUUCGACGGGUAGCCGGCCUGAGAGGGCGACCGGCCACAUUGGGACUGAGAUACGGCCCAGACUCCUACGGGAGGCAGCAGUGGGGAAUAUUGCACAAUGGGCGCAAGCCUGAUGCAGCGACGCCGCGUGCGGGAUGACGGCCUUCGGGUUGUAAACCGCUUUUGACUGGGAGCAAGCCCUUCGGGGUGAGUGUACCUUUCGAAUAAGCACCGGCUAACUACGUGCCAGCAGCCGCGGUAAUACGUAGGGUGCAAGCGUUAUCCGGAAUUAUUGGGCGUAAAGGGCUCGUAGGCGGUUCGUCGCGUCCGGUGUGAAAGUCCAUCGCUUAACGGUGGAUCCGCGCCGGGUACGGGCGGGCUUGAGUGCGGUAGGGGAGACUGGAAUUCCCGGUGUAACGGUGGAAUGUGUAGAUAUCGG
rnacentral:rRNA from 1 species